AGGGAGGAAGCCGCGGAAGCCCCACAGGUUCAGGCUGGGGACUGUGGCUCUUUGGGAGAUACGGAAGUAUCAGUCCUGUGAGCUGUUGAUACCCACAGCUACUUUCAUUCGAUGCGUGGGUAAGGGAGCUAACUGCUUUCUAUUCUAGGGGAGUUAAUUAUUGGAUGGCUGAAGCUUUAGUAGCAAUCCAAGAUGCAGCUAAAGAUUAUUUGGUCCAUUUGUUCGAAGACGGAAUGAUUUGUGCCUUCUAGGCAAAACGUGUUACGCUUAGUAAGU